rnacentral:rRNA from 1 species
AAAGGCAACUUUGAGUUACAUUACCAUCAUUUUACCCCCAUUUACACUUAAUAAGUUUUAAGAAUGAUACCUAUAAUUAUAUAACUUUCAGCAAUGGAUCUCUAGGCUCUCACGUCGAUGAAGAACACAGUGAAAUGUGAUACGUAAUGUGAAUUGCAUAAUUCAGUGAAUCAUCGAAUCUUUGAACGCACCUUGCACCUUUUGGUUAUUCCGAAAGGUACGCCUGUUUGAAUGUCACAAAACUCCCCUCGGCUCUAAUGCUUUCUAAAAGGAUUAGAGACGGAUUCUGAGUGUUGGCGUGAUACGCCUCGCUUUAAAUAUAUCAGCACUUUUGGAUGGUUGAAUAUUAGUUCGAAAGACGUACUUGAUGUUGUAUUUAUAUGUCAUUGAGGCAGUCUUUGGUCGGCACGACUAUCCGCUAAUACGAAAACUUGAAGAAUAGCUUCCUAACCCUAUUAACCUUACCUUUAGACUUCAAAUCAGGUGGGACUACCCGCUGAACUUAAGCAUAUCAAUAAGCGGAGGA